rnacentral:rRNA from 1 species
GCGUGCUAUACAUGCAAGUCGAACGAACUUCCGUUAAUUGAUUAUGACGUGCUUGCACUGAAUGAGAUUUUAACACGAAGUGAGUGGCGGACGGGUGAGUAACACGUGGGUAACCUGCCCAGAAGCAGGGGAUAACACCUGGAAACAGAUGCUAAUACCGUAUAACAGAGAAAACCGCCUGGUUUUCUUUUAAAAGAUGGCUCUGCUAUCACUUCUGGAUGGACCCGCGGCGCAUUAGCUAGUUGGUGAGGUAACGGCUCACCAAGGCGAUGAUGCGUAGCCGACCUGAGAGGGUAAUCGGCCACAUUGGGACUGAGACACGGCCCAGACUCCUACGGGAGGCAGCAGUAGGGAAUCUUCCACAAUGGACGCAAGUCUGAUGGAGCAACGCCGCGUGAGUGAAGAAGGGUUUCGGCUCGUAAAGCUCUGUUGUUAAAGAAGAACGUGGGUGAGAGUAACUGUUCACCCAGUGACGGUAUUUAACCAGAAAGCCACGGCUAACUACGUGC